GACGAACGCUGGCGGCGUGCCUAAUACAUGCAAGUCGAGCGGACGGAUGGGAGCUUGCUCCCAGACCGUCAGCGGCGGACGGGUGAGUAACCCGUGGGCAACCUGCCUGUAAGACUGGGAUAACUCCGGGAAACCGGGGCUAAUACCGGAUAACUCUUUCCCUCCCCUGAGGGAAAGCUGAAAGAUGGCAUCUCGCUAUCACUUACAGCUGGGCCCGCGGCGCAUUAGCUAGUUGGUGAGGUAACGGCUCACCAAGGCGACGAUGCGUAGCCGACCUGAGAGGGUGAUCGGCCACACUGGGACUGAGACACGGCCCAGACUCCUACGGGAGGCAGCAGUAGGGAAUCUUCCGCAAUGGACGAAAGUCUGACGGAGCAACGCCGCGUGAGUGAUGAAGGUUUUCGGAUCGUAAAACUCUGUUGUCAGGGAAGAACAAGUACCGGAGUAACUGCCGGUACCUUGACGGUACCUGACCAGAAAGCCACGGCUAACUACGUG
rnacentral:rRNA from 1 species